rnacentral:rRNA from 1 species
AUUGAACGCUGGCGGCAGGCCUAACACAUGCAAGUCGAACGGUAGCACAGAGGAGCUUGCUCCUUGGGUGACGAGUGGCGGACGGGUGAGUAAUGUCUGGGAAACUGCCCGAUGGAGGGGGAUAACUACUGGAAACGGUAGCUAAUACCGCAUAACGUCUUCGGACCAAAGUGGGGGACCUUCGGGCCUCACACCAUCGGAUGUGCCCAGAUGGGAUUAGCUAGUAGGUGGGGUAAUGGCUCACCUAGGCGACGAUCCCUAGCUGGUCUGAGAGGAUGACCAGCCACACUGGAGCUGAGACACGGUCCAGACUCCUACGGGAGGCAGCAGUGGGGAAUAUUGCACAAUGGGCGCAAGCCUGAUGCAGCCAGGCCGCGUGUAUGAAGAAGGCCUUCGGGUUGUAAAGUACUUUCGGCGGGGAGGAAGGCGUUAAGGUUAAUAACCUUGGCGAUUGACGUUACCCGCAGAAGAAGCACCGGCUAACUCCGUGCCAGCAGCCGCCGUAA